AUUACCCAUCUAUAUAGUUCAAAAAAAGAAUAAAAAAAAUUAAUAAUUAUAUUAGUCAAUCAAAUACAAAAUCAGAUUUGUUCAUGCCUGCUAAAUAUCACUACUCAUCUUCUUUCGUAAUUUUUAUUUUCCCUAAAACCCAUAUUUGGUUUUCCCCCUGCAUCUUGGAUACAAUCAACAUUAUCAAUCCUAUCCAACCUCUCUAAAUCAAUUCAAGUUUAUCCCGCACUAAUUCCCUUUAAGUUCGAAGCCCAACCCCGAGUGUUCUUCGACCUUCUCCUCGAAACAAGCAGACGACAUCUGGGUGGGAUUCAGGCGUGUGAUAGUCUGUGUGUGGGUUUCAAAAUUUGCAAUUCCUUUUGCAAAUUGUGAUUCUUGAGUAUAUACCGCAUUAACAAUGUCGAAACCUUGAGGGAGCCGCCAUUCACACCCUUUUCUUGCUCUAUGUGAAAAUUGAAGGAGACAAUUUCUCUACAAAAUCAUUCUAGCUGAUAGCUGCGAAUCGAACCUCACUCUUUGAAGUGUCAUCGUGGAUUUUUUACAGAUCGGUACCAGCCGAGAACGAUGGGAUAGCAGAGAUGAUUAGAGUAUUCUUGGAAGAUAUUUUGGAUUUGUGUAUAUAUUGAAGUUGUAGUGUCCGUAUUGGGCUUUAGAGUGUAAUAGAUUUGAUUAUGUUGACUAUUUUGGACUCUUAUAGUUAGUUGUAUGACUAUUUUGGACUUUGGUUUA